CCGUAAAGAACCUGCCUCAUAGACUGGGACAACUAUUGGAAACGAUAGCUAAUACCGGAUAACAGCAUUAACUGCAUGGUUGAUGUUUAAAAGUUGGUUUUGCUAACACUAUGAGAUGGCUUUGCGGUGCAUUAGCUAGUUGGUGGGGUAAAGGCCUACCAAGGCGACGAUGCAUAGCCGACCUGAGAGGGUGAUCGGCCACACUGGGACUGAGACACGGCCCAG
rnacentral:rRNA from 1 species